CAAGAUUGAUAAAAAUCAGGCCUUGCUCAUUCCUGCUUUAGGGGAAAGUUGGGGACAUGCUGCUACAAUACGGCUAAUCUUUCAUUGGGACCUAAAGCAAAGCCCCUGACAAUCACCAUUCUACCUUGUCUCUGAAUUUGACUCGUCUACCUACGCCGUAUAAUUGGAAUCAUACAAUAUUUGUUCUGGUGUGACUGACUUAUUUCACUUAGUAUAAUGUCUUCAUGGCUCAUUAUGUUGUAGCAUGUGUCAGAAUUUUUUUCCUUUUUAAGUCUGAAUAAUAUUCUAUUGUAUAUACAUACCACGUUUUGUUAAUUCAUCUGUGGACGGAUACUUGGGUUGCUUCUACAUUCUGGCUGUUGUCAAUAAGUUACAGUGUAUCAGUUUUAUUUAUUUAUUUUUUUGUUUUUUUUGUUUGGUUUUUUGCUUGUAAGUGUAUCAGUUUUAAAGUAUAUUUUUUGUUGUUUGUUUGUUGAGAUGGACUUUUGCUCUUAUUGCAUGGUCUGGAGUCCAGUGGCGUGAUCUCGGCUCACUGAAACUCCUACCUCCCAGGUUGAAGUGAUUCCCCUGCCUCAACCUCUCAAGUAGCUGGCAUUACAGGCAUAUGCUACCACACCCAGCUAAUUUUGUAUUUUUAGUAGCGAUGGGGUUUCUCCAUGUUAGUCAGGCUGGUCUCGAAUUCCUGACCUCAGGUGAUUUGCCCACCUCAGCCUCCCAAAGUUCUGGGAUUACAGGCUGAACCACUAUGCCCAGCCUAAAGUAAUUCUUAAAAGCAGUUUUGUUGUUGUUGUUUGUUUGUUUGAGAUGGAGUUUCACUCUU